CCCCSGGGUAUGCCUUCAGUAGCGGCGAGUGAAGCGGCAAAAGCUCAAAUUUGAAAUCUGGCGUCUUUGGCGUCCGAGUUGUAAUUUGAAGAAGGUAUCUUUGGGCCCGGCUCUUGUCUAUGUUCCUUGGAACAGGACGUCACAGAGGGUGAGAAUCCCGUGCGAUGAGAUGACCCGGGUCUGUGUAAAGUUCCUUCGACGAGUCGAGUUGUUUGGGAAUGCAGCUCUAAGUGGGUGGUAAAUUCCAUCUAAAGCUAAAUAUUGGCGAGAGACCGAUAGCGAACAAGUACAGUGAUGGAAAGAUGAAAAGAACUUUGAAAAGAGAGUGAAAAAGUACGUGAAAUUGUUGAAAGGGAAGGGCUUGAGAUCAGACUUGGUAUUUUGCAUGCUGCUCUCUCGGGGGCGGCCGCUGCGGUUUACCGGGCCAGCAUCGGUUUGGAGCGGCAGGAUAAUGGCGGAGGAAUGUGGCACGGCUUCUGCUGUGUGUUAUAGCCUCUGACGAUACUGCCAGCCUAGACCGAGGACUGCGGUUUUUACCUAGGAUGUUGGCAUAAUGAUCUUAAGUCGCCCGUCUUGAAACACGGAMCCA
rnacentral:rRNA from 1 species